rnacentral:rRNA from 1 species
UACCUAGAGUUAAAAACAAGAUAAUAGAAUUUUAUAAAUAGGGAUAGCAUCCAAAGAUUUAUAAGAGAAUGCCUGUGGUGAAAACGAUUAUCAUGUUUUAACUGACAUUGAGGAACGAAAGCUUAGGUAGCAAACAGGAUUUGAUACCCUGGUAGUCUUUGCUGUCACAUAUGAGUGCUAAUAUUUAGUAUUUACUUAAUAUACAGCUAACGCGUAAGCACUCCGCCUGGGAAGUACGAUCGCAAGAUUGGAACCCAAAGGAAUUGACGGGGAUCUACACAAGUGGUGGAGCAUGUGGUUUAAUGCGAUAAUACGCGCGAAACCUUACCAGUUUUUG